AAUCCGCCCAGUGCUGUACCUUUGGUUAGGAGGAGUUUACGGACUAACGGUAGCUGGGUACCUGGAUUGGAGUUUGUUCAUUAGUUAGUUUUUGGUUAGAAGUUUGAUUGCAGAGUUCAUUUAAGCUUUAGAUAUAGGCAUAUUUUAGCUUUAGAUUCGCUUCUGAAUUUGAUAGUUUUGAUUAGUUUUCUAGAUUUCCUGUUUUCUGUAGUUCAUAUAUUCUCUCUUGGUUCGUUUUACCUUAUUCUGCAAAUCUGGAUGGCAUAGUUUCUUAGUUUUCUAAGUUUGGUUGCAGUGGUUCGUUUAUGAAUUAGAUUUAGAUAAGAUUCAGGAAUUGGUAGGCUAGCUGUUUUGAUUUUCUGCAUUCGGUUGAACUUUUUUCUUUUAGUUUGUUUUAGUUUAUCUUCUCACAGCAGACCGUGUAUUGGAUUGGCAUUUUCCAUUUGUUAACUUUUACUUAGAAAUUUAAUCUGUAGCGGUCAGUUAAGUUUUAGUUUUAGAUUAGGUUUGUUGACUUAACUGCUUAGAUUAUUUAUAUUCGUUGCUUUUUAUUGGAUGGUUUACAGGAACAUAUUUCGUAUUUAUCCUGUUUCAGUAAGCGAAUGGUUACUGUGUUUGAUGUAUUAAAAGUUUUUCUUCUUAGAAUACGCAUUGAUAGUUUUUUUAUUCCUUCAGGUUUUUGCUUAUGUGGUUUUAAUAUACGAGGUUAUCAUUAUAAUAGCCAGAUAGUUACAGUCUGUUUAGUAGCUGUCGAUUUUAUUUAGUUGAGUUUUCAUUUGAACAGUUUAGUAGUAAAAUUCAUAGAUUCUGUAGGACAGUCUCUUACUAGGUAAUUUGAAUUUGAUAUCAGGUAUUCAUUCUUGUGGUAGUUUUCGUGGAUUCUGUUUUGCUUUUCGAUGCAUCGAUGUAGUAUAUAGAAUUGAUUUCUAGUGGAUUGAUUUUGAAGCUUAGAUGAUAGCCUUAGAUAAUUAUUAUAUUUAUAGUUUUAUUUUUGGAUGUUGUUACAGGUAAUUUUUAUCGUUAUCCACAUUGAAUUAACAUUUUGAAUUGUUUUAUUUAUUACCUAAGUUUCUUUUUCUUCAGUUUGUAAGUGUCAUAGAUAUUGAAUUUGUUUUUAGUUUUCAGUUCAUUUUGUCCUCUAUUGUUAACAUAAUCAUAAUUUUCAUACGAUUUCGCUUUGUCAAAACCUUUUGCGUAUUUUGUUAUUCGAUAACAUAUACAGGUAUACUUUGUAUUAAUUAUAUUCUGUAUUAUUUUGAUUAUUUAUAUUUCACAAUAAUCUGUAAUUUAAGAAUAUUGUCGGGCGAAUCUACUGUAAAUUUUAUAUUUGAAUAUAGACAAUAGUGCGUAAGUAAAUUAUGUAUUUUUUAAAUUAAUUUUAUUGUCGGAUAUUCAUUAUGUCUGAGAUUAGUGUGUAUAAAAAUUGUCGGGAAAUUUUUGUAAUCUGUAUACUUGCUUAUAACUUACUGUCGCGUAUAGUUAUAACUUUUUAUAUUUUUGUAAUUUGUGUACUUGCUUAUAACUCAUUGUCCUGUAUAGUUAUAACUUUUUAUAUUUUUGUAAUUUGUGUACUUGCUUAUAACUCAUUGUCGCGUAUAGUUAUAACUU
rnacentral:lncRNA from 1 species